CUUUUUCUGACAUGUGACUAUUGUGACUUCUUUUACAGAGUAGUGAAUACAAAAAAGAGGAGAGGAUUCAAGAAGAAAAGAGCCAUCAGCAUGUAAGGACUGUGGGGGAUAAAGGAAAACUCAUUGAAAAAGAGGAAAGUGACACAGGACAAGAGGCAAUUAAAGAUACACGCGUCUAUAAUUCAGACACAGGAUUUGAUAAUUUUUCAGCAAAUUAUGAAGAUGAUUUUGAAGUAAGUAAAAGCAUACAAUUGUCUUCUUGAAGUAAUCCUAAAAAUGUCAAAAUAGUGAUUAACUUUAUUCACAGAAAGAAAAAUUACAGAGUGAUACGUGGUUUUUACUUUCUCAUUUUUUGGUGACAGU
rnacentral:lncRNA from 1 species